AUACAUGCAGUCGAGCGGAUUGAUGGGAGCUUGCUCCCUGAAAUCAGCGGCGGACGGGUGAGUAACACGUGGGUAACCUGCCUGUAAGACUGGGAUAACUCCGGGAAACCGGGGCUAAUACCGGAUAGUUCUUUUCCUCGCAUGAGGAAAAGUGGAAAGGCGGCUUCGGCUGCCACUUACAGAUGGACCCGCGGCGCAUUAGCUAGUUGGUGAGGUAACGGCUCACCAAGGCAACGAUGCGUAGCCGACCUGAGAGGGUGAUCGGCCACACUGGGACUGAGACACGGCCCAGACUCCUACGGGAGGCAGCAGUAGGGAAUCUUCCGCAAUGGACGAAAGUCUGACGGAGCAACGCCGCGUGAGUGAUGAAGGUUUUCGGAUCGUAAAGCUCUGUUGUUAGGGAAGAACAAGUGCCGUUCGAAUAGGGCGGCACCUUGACGGUACCUAACCAGAAAGCCACGGCUAACUACGUGCCAGCAGCCGCGGUAAUACGUAGGUGGCAAGCGUUGUCCGGAAUUAUUGGGCGUAAAGCGCGCGCAGGCGGUCUCUUAAGUCUGAUGUGAAAGCCCACGGCUCAACCGUGGAGGGUCAUUGGAAACUGGGGGACUUGAGUACAGAAGAGGAAAGU
rnacentral:rRNA from 1 species